UAAAUUUUAAUUUAAAAUAAAAUAUAAUAAUUACAAUAUUAAAAUAAAUAAAUUUAUUUAAAUUUAA
rnacentral:tRNA from 1 species